CCCCUAGAUGUUCUGGGCCGCACGCGCGCUACACUGACCGGUGCAACAAGCAUCCGUCCUUGGCCGACAGGCCCGGGCAAUCUUUGAACGCCGGUCGUGAUGGGGAUAGACUUUUGCAAUUUUUGGUCUUCAACGAGGAAUUCCUAGUAAACGCAAGUCAUCAACUUGCAUUGAUUACGUCCCUGCCCUUUGUACACACCGCCCGUCGCACCUACCGAUUGAAUGGUCCGGUGAAGCCUCCGGAUUGGCGCGCACCUCGGUGCCGCCGAGAAGUUGGCUAAACCUUACCAUUUAGAGGAAGGUGAAGUCGUAACA
rnacentral:rRNA from 1 species